GACAGAGGGUGCAAACGUUGUUCGGAAUUACUGGGCGUAAAGCGAGUGUAGGCGGUUUCCUAAGUCGGAUGUGAAAGCCCCGGGCUCAACCCGGGAAGUGCAUUCGAAACUGGGAGGCUAGAGUGUCGGAGAGGUUGGUGGAAUUCUCGGUGUAGAGGUGAAAUUCGUAGAUAUCGAGAGGAACACCGAUGGCGAAGGCGGCCAACUGGACGAACACUGACGCUGAGACUCGAAAGCGUGGGGAGCAAACAGG
rnacentral:rRNA from 1 species